UUCGCGUCCCAAGGUUCCGUAACCAUUACUACAACAAUCCAGUGAUUAAACUUAAAAAUAAUUAAUCAUCCUUAAUACAUCAUAAUACGCAUAGAAAUAAUAAUACUACUACUCUUAAAGGACUAAGCUACUUUGUAGCCUUGCCCUUCCCCUUGUCCUUUCCUGAGGUACCGCCUUGCUCUGCCUUAACUGUAAUGUUUUUAGGGAAGCAAGAAUAAGCAACAAGUUUGCCCAGCAA
rnacentral:lncRNA from 1 species